UUACGGCUAUAUCACAUUAUAAAAUACCGGUUCCCAUACGAUCAACAAAGUUAAGCAAUGUUGAGCCUGGUCAGUACCUAGCUGGGUGACUGCUUAGGAAUACAAGUUGCUGUAA